GAUGAACGCUGGCGGCGUGCCUAAUACAUGCAAGUCGAGCGAACGGACGAGACGCUUUCUUCUCUGAUGUUAGCGUCGGACGGGUGAGUAACACGUGGAUAACCUACCUAUAAGACUGGGAUAACUUCGUGAAACCGGAGCUAAUACCGGAUAAUCUUUUGAACCGCAUGGUUCAAAAGUGAAAGACGUUCUUGCUGUCACUUAUAGAUGGAUCCGCUCUGCAUUAGCUAGUUGGUAAGGUAACGGCUUACCAAGGCAACGAUGCAUAGCCGAACUGAGAGGGGGAUCGGCCACACGGGAACUGAGACACGGUCCAGACUCCUACGGGAGGCAGCAGUAGGGAAUCUUGCGCAAUGGGCGAAAGCCUGACGGAGCAACGCCGCGUGAGUGAUGAAGGUCUUCGGAUCGUAAAACUCUGUUAGUAGGGAAGAACAGAGGAGUAAGUAAAUGUGCACAUAUUGACGGUACCUAAACAGAAAGCAACGGCUAACUACGUG
rnacentral:rRNA from 1 species